AGUGAACGCUGGCGGUAGGCCUAACACAUGCAAGUCGAACGGCAGCACAGUAAGAGCUUGCUCUUACGGGUGGCGAGUGGCGGACGGGUGAGGAAUACAUCGGAAUCUACUUUUUCGUGGGGGAUAACGUAGGGAAACUUACGCUAAUACCGCAUACGACCUACGGGUGAAAGCAGGGGAUCUUCGGCCCUUGCGCGAUUGAAUGAGCCGAUGUCGGAUUAGCUAGUUGGCGGGGUAAAGGCCCACCAAGGCGACGAUCCGUAGCUGGUCUGAGAGGAUGAUCAGCCACACUGGAACUGAGACACGGUCCAGACUCCUACGGGAGGCAGCAGUGGGGAAUAUUGGACAAUGGGCGCAAGCCUGAUCCAGCCAUACCGAGUGGGUGAAGAAGGCCUUCGGGUUGUAAAGCCCUUUUGUUGGGAAAGAAAAGCAGCAGGUUAAUACCCCGCUGUUCUGACGGUACCCAAAGAAUAAGCACCGGCUAACUUCGUG
rnacentral:rRNA from 1 species